CGCGUGAGGAACCUGCCUCAAAGAGGGGGACAACAGUUGGAAACGACUGCUAAUACCGCAUAAGCCCACGACCCGGCAUCGGGUAGAGGGAAAAGGAGCAAUCCGCUUUGAGAUGGCCUCGCGUCCGAUUAGCUAGUUGGUGAGGUAAUGGCCCACCAAGGCGACGAUCGGUAGCCGGACUGAGAGGUUGAACGGCCACAUUGGGACUGAGACACGGCCCAG
rnacentral:rRNA from 1 species